rnacentral:rRNA from 1 species
CCUACGGGUGGCAGCAGUGAGGAAUAUUGGUCAAUGGACGAGAGUCUGAACCAGCCAAGUAGCGUGAAGGAUGACUGCCCUAUGGGUUGUAAACUUCUUUUAUAUGGGAAUAAAAUGUUCCACGUGUGGGAUUUUGUAUGUACCAUAUGAAUAAGGAUCGGCUAACUCCGUGCCAGCAGCCGCGGUAAUACGGAGGAUCCGAGCGUUAUCCGGAUUUAUUGGGUUUAAAGGGUGCGUAGGUGGAUUGUUAAGUCAGUUGUGAAAGUGUGCGGCUCAACCGUAAAAUUGCAGUUGAAACUGGCAGUCUUGAGUACAAUAGAGGUGGGCGGAAUUCGUGGUGUAGCGGUGAAAUGCUUAGAUAUCACGAAGAACUCCGAUUGCGAAGGCAGUUCACUGGACUGCAACUGACACUGAGGCUCGAAAGUGUGGGUAUCAAACAGGAUUAGAUACCCCAGUAGUC